rnacentral:rRNA from 1 species
GACGUAGGGCGCGAGCGUUGUCCGGAUUUAUUGGGCGUAAAGAGCUCGUAGGCGGCUUGUUGCGCGACCGUGAAAACCCGCGGCUCAACUGGGGAACUGCACAGGAAACUAGCGGGGCUUGAGUUCGGGAGAGGGAAGCGGAAUUCCGCGUGUAGUGGUGAAAUGCGUAGAGAUCGGGAGGAACACCAGUGGCGAAGGCGGCGACCGUGGACCGUGUGCUGACGCUGAGGCGCGGAAGCGUGGGGAGCGAAUCCGG